GACAGAGGGUGCAAACGUUGUUCGGAUUUACUGGGCGUAAAGCGCGUGUAGGCGGGUCGUUAAGUUGGGGGUGAAAUCCCGAGGCUCAACCUCGGAACUGCCUUCAAAACUGGCGACCUGGAGCAAGAUAGAGGCAAGUGGAAUUGCGAGUGUAGAGGUGAAAUUCGUAGAUAUUCGCAGGAACACCAGUGGCGAAGGCGACUUGCUGGAUCUUUGCUGACGCUGAGACGCGAAAGCGUGGGGAGCAAACAGG
rnacentral:rRNA from 1 species